UGGGGAAUAUUGCACAAUGGGCGCAAGCCUGAUGCAGCAACGCCGCGUGAGGGACGACGGCCUUCGGGUUGUAAACCUCUUUUAGUAGGGAAGAAGCGAAAGUGACGGUACCUGCAGAAAAAGCACCGGCUAACUACGUGCCAGCAGCCGCGGUAAUACGUAGGGUGCGAGCGUUGUCCGGAAUUAUUGGGCGUAAAGAGCUCGUAGGCGGUCUGUCGCGUCUGCUGUGAAAACCCGAGGCUCAACCUCGGGCCUGCAGUGGGUACGGGCAGACUAGAGUGCGGUAGGGGAGAAUGGAAUUCCUGGUGUAGCGGUGGAAUGCGCAGAUAUCAGGAGGAACACCGAUGGCGAAGGCAGUUCUCUGGGCCGUAACUGACGCUGAGGAGCGAAAGCGUGGGGAGCGAACAGGAUUAGAUACCCUGGUAGUCCACGCCGUAAACGUUGGGCGCUAGAUGUGGGGACCAUUCCACGGUUUCCGUGUCGCAGCUAACGCAUUAAGCGCCCCGCCUGGGGAGUACGGCCGCAAGGGC
rnacentral:rRNA from 1 species